ACAAUGGGUUAAAUUAAUGGCCCCCUAGCACCGCGAGAUGUUAGUGAAAACUCAUCAAAUUGCUGGAACUCCCUAAAGCCUUUAUACCAAAGCGAAAUUAGAAAUGAUAAGCGCGCCAGGUGCGAGAGCAGAAAAAAGUUAAAGGAUUGAUUGGAAGCCGCAAGGGAUCUAAUCUUUACAAUGGGUAAUCAGCAGCCAAGCUCCGCAUAAAAGGAGAAGGUUCAACGAACAGAGGGUGAGUAUCUUUUAUUCGUUUAAGAUAAAAGAUAAUGGUAUGUUCUAGCCCCUACUGAAAGGAUGGG
rfam:Planktothrix serta PCC 8927 isolate BBR_PRJEB10992 genome assembly, scaffold: BBR_A_PL8927_scaffold60